rnacentral:rRNA from 1 species
AGUCGAGCGGCAGCACGGGGAGCUUGCUCCCUGGUGGCGAGCGGCGGACGGGUGAGUAAUGCAUAGGAAUCUGCCCGGUAGUGGGGGAUAACGUGGGGAAACCCACGCUAAUACCGCAUACGUCCUACGGGAGAAAGCGGAGGAUCUUCGGACUUCGCGCUAUCGGAUGAGCCUAUGUCGGAUUAGCUAGUUGGUAAGGUAACGGCUUACCAAGGCGACGAUCCGUAGCUGGUCUGAGAGGAUGAUCAGCCACACUGGGACUGAGACACGGCCCAGACUCCUACGGGAGGCAGCAGUGGGGAAUAUUGGACAAUGGGCGAAAGCCUGAUCCAGCCAUGCCGCGUGUGUGAAGAAGGCUUUCGGGUUGUAAAGCACUUUCAGCGAGGAAGAAAGCCUCUGGGUUAAUACCCCAGAGGAAAGACAUCACUCGCAGAAGAAGCACCGGCUAACUCCGUGCCAGCAGCCGCGGUAA